GAUGAAGAACGUAGCGAAAUGCGAUAAGUAAUGUGAAUUGCAGAAUUCAGUGAAUCAUCGAAUCUUUGAACGCACAUUGCGCCCCCUGGUAUUCCGGGGGGCAUGCCUGUCCGAGCGUCAUUACAACCCUCAAGCUCAGCUUGGUGUUGGGCCCCGCCGCCCCGGCGGGCCCUAAAGUCAGUGGCGGUGCCGUCCGGCUCCGAGCGUAGUAAUUCUUCUCGCUCUGGAGGUCCGGUCGUGUGCUCGCCAGCAACCCCCAAUUUUUUUCAGGUUGACCUCGGAUCAGGUAGGGAUACCCGCUGAACUUAAGCAUAUCAAUAAGCGGAGUA
rnacentral:misc_RNA from 1 species